AGUAACAAUUUAAUGCUCUUUAAAAGUUAGAAGCUUUUAAUUUAAUAUUUCUUU
rnacentral:tRNA from 1 species